UACGAAGGGUGCAAGCGUUACUCGGAAUUACUGGGCGUAAAGCGUGCGUAGGUGGUUUGUUAAGUCUGAUGUGAAAUCCCCCGGGCUCAACCUGGGAAUGGCAUUGGAUACUGGCAGGCUAGAGUGCGGUAGAGGGUGGUGGAAUUCCCGGUGUAGCAGUGAAAUGCGUAGAGAUCGGGAGGAACAUCUGUGGCGAAGGCGGCCACCUGGACCAGCACUGACACUGAGGCACGAAAAGCGUGGGGGAGCAAACAGG
rnacentral:rRNA from 1 species